GUCUCCCACUCCCUCCCUCUCUCUAUCUUUCCCUUCUUCUCUUCUUUCUCAUCGUUAAUAUCUGAAAACAAUCCUCAGCCAAGUUUAAUACGAAUUCACUGUCUCACGCACAUUUAUUAGGGUUACAUAUUAUUACUCAUCUUUUAAAUCAAUUAUCUCUCUGACAAAAUCAGUUUUUUUGACGGCUAAAGCAUCACUCACUGGAUACAUCAGCUGGACUAUGGAAACAUCAGCUGGACUAUGGACAAAUAACAAGUAACAAACAAUAGUCCAGAUCACCUCAAACCUUGGCAGAGCAGUCCUCUCCUUCAUCGAGAUGUCACGACCUCGUGUGGAUCCUCCAAGUAAAGAAUGGUUGAAGGCACCUAAGGGUUCACCUCGGUUUAUUGAAGGUGUUAAGUCGUUCAUUCAGUUUACAGUUGAGAGUCUUGGGGAAGAUAUAAAUGAAUUUCAUUGUCCUUGCAUGAAAUGUAAGAAUUACAAUACUUGUCCAAAGUCUCUUGAUGAAAUACAUGGGGAUAUUCUUCAGCAUGGGUUUGAUGUGACAUCGAACGUGGAUCCAUCAUGGAGAGCAAUCUCGUGCGAAUGAUUCCAGCGUUAGAUCUCCUACGUUACCCACUGAUAAUAUUGUGAAUGAAGCUCCUGGUCCGAGAAUAGUCGACUUGUUCUUUGACACACUAGGCCGCGCUGAGUUCAUUAACAAUGAAGACUUCCUUGGUGAUUCUGAUCCGCAAGUUGGUACUGCUGCAACAGUUGAAGAUGGUUCUGGUGCUAAUGUUGAAGAUGGGUGCUGGUGUCGAUUACAGUGAGAUGAUGCUGGAUGCGUUACAACCCCUGUAUCCAGAUUGUGGUGGUGAACAUACAAAACUGUCGGCAGUAAUCGAGCUACUUAGUAUGAAAGCAAGUAAAUACAAGAGGUACAUUGGAAGUCUAAACAGAAAAUCAAGGAGCAAGGCUAUGAAUUACAGUCCCUGGUUAAGAGAGGAACUUCUAGGCACACCCAUGACAGAGUUUCAUAGGAUCGUACUUGGUCCUUCCAGACAGUUUCCUAUCGCAGCAACAAUCCCAAAUAUUCUGUGAAUUUUAUCUUUCAACGGCAUUGUUCACCAAUGCAUUGCGUGCCUAGUAUUUUCCCGUACUAUGUUCCCAGCCGAACCCUCAAUAUUGACAUGACAUGACAACUAAAUGUUCACUCUCAGCAGAGUAGCAUGAGUCUCCCGAAGUGUCAGUAUUGAGACCUGCGUGUAAGUACCCACAUAGACUGCAUCACUCUCUGACAGAGAGAAUUUCGUAUCAACGCACUUUUAAGUUA